UUAUCCUGGCACUGGGCAAAGAGACGCCUCAUUGGUGGUGUUGGUCUUAUAUCAAUCAGGGUUAGAGCAGAUGGUCCUUUGUUCCUCUUAGCUUGGUGCUUGGUUUGGUGGCCAGCCUAUUUCAUGCUUGGGGCACAUUA